GGCGCAAGCCUGAUCCAGCCAUGCCGCGUGAGUGAAGAAGGCCUCGGGUUGUAAAGCUCUUCGGCCGGGAAGAAAUCGUGGUCUCUAACAUAGGCCAUGGAUGACGGUACCGGACUAAGAAGCACCGGCUAACUACGUGCCAGCAGCCGCGGUAAUACGUAGGGUGCGAGCGUUAAUCGGAAUUACUGGGCGUAAAGCGUGCGCAGGCGGUUUUGUAAGACAGAUGUGAAAUCCCCGGGCUUAACCUGGGAACUGCGUUUGUGACUGCAAGGCUAGAGUACGGCAGAGGGGGGUGGAAUUCCUGGUGUAGCAGUGAAAUGCGUAGAGAUCAGGAGGAACACCGAUGGCGAAGGCAGCCCCCUGGGCCUGUACUGACGCUCAUGCACGAAAGCGUGGGGAGCAAAACAGGAUUAGAUACCCUGGUAGUCCACGCCCUAAACGAUGUCGACUAGUCGUUCGGAGCAGCAAUGCACUGAGUGACGCAGCUAACGCGUGAAGUC
rnacentral:rRNA from 1 species